CCUACGGGAGGCAGCAGUAGGGAAUCUUCCGCAAUGGACGAAAGUCUGACGGAGCAACGCCGCGUGAACGAUGAAGGCCUUCGGGUCGUAAAGUUCUGUUGUUAGGGAAGAACAAGUGCUAGUUGAAUAAGCUGGCACCUUGACGGUACCUAACCAGAAAGCCACGGCUAACUACGUGCCAGCAGCCGCGGUAAUACGUAGGUGGCAAGCGUUGUCCGGAAUUAUUGGGCGUAAAGCGCGCGCAGGCGGUUUCUUAAGUCUGAUGUGAAAGCCCCCGGCUCAACCGGGGAGGGUCAUUGGAAACUGGGAAACUUGAGUGCAGAAGAGGAAAGUGGAAUUCCAAGUGUAGCGGUGAAAUGCGUAGAGAUUUGGGGGAACACCAGUGGCGAAGGCGACUUUCUGGUCUGUAACUGACGCUGAGGCGCGAAAGCGUGGGGAGCAAACAGGAUUAGAUACCCUGGUAGUCCACGCUGUAAACCGAUGAGUGCUAAGUGUUAGACGGGUUUCCGCCUUUAGUGCUGAAGUUACGCAUUAAGCACUCCGCUGGGGAGUCGGUCGCAAGCAGAACUACGAAGAAGUAGACGCGUGAGACGUGCCGACGACGACGACGAGGGAGUAGG
rnacentral:rRNA from 1 species